rnacentral:rRNA from 1 species
AUUGAACGCUGGCGGCAGGCCUAACACAUGCAAGUCGAGCGGAUGAGUGGAGCUUGCUCCAUGAUUCAGCGGCGGACGGGUGAGUAAUGCCUAGGAAUCUGCCUGGUAGUGGGGGACAACGUUUCGAAAGGAACGCUAAUACCGCAUACGUCCUACGGGAGAAAGUGGGGGAUCUUCGGACCUCACGCUAUCAGAUGAGCCUAGGUCGGAUUAGCUAGUUGGUGAGGUAAAGGCUCACCAAGGCGACGAUCCGUAACUGGUCUGAGAGGAUGAUCAGUCACACUGGAACUGAGACACGGUCCAGACUCCUACGGGAGGCAGCAGUGGGGAAUAUUGGACAAUGGGCGAAAGCCUGAUCCAGCCAUGCCGCGUGUGCGAAGAAGGUCUUCGGAUUGUAAAGCACUUUAAGUUGGGAGGAAGGGCAGUAAGUUAAUACCUUGCUGUUUUGACGUUACCAACAGAAUAAGCACCGGCUAACUUCGUG